rnacentral:rRNA from 1 species
CCUACGGGAGACUGCAGUGGGGAAUAUUGCACAAUGGGGGAAACCCUGAUGCAGCAACGCCGCGUGGGUGAAGGAGCGUUUCUGCGCGUAAAGCCCUGUCAGCGGGGAAGAAGCAAGACGGUCCCCGACCAAGAAGCCCCGGCUAACUACGUGCAAGCUGCCGCGGUAAUACGUAGGGGGCCGCCGUUAUCCGGAAUUACUGGGUGUAAAGGGAGCGUAGACGGGGAUGUAAGCCGGGAGUGGAAGCCCCGGGGCCAACCUCGGAACGGCUUUUGGAACUGUUUUGCUGGAGUGUGGGAGGGGGAAGCGGAAUUCGUGGUGUAGCGGUGAAAUGCGUAGAUAUCAGGAGGAACACCGGUGGCGAAGGCGGCUUACUGGAGCAUAACUGACGUUGAGGCUCGAAAGCGUGGGGAGCGAACAGGAUUAGAUACCCUUGUAGUC